CCUACGGGAGGCAGCAGUGGGGAAUAUUGCACAAUGGGGGAAACCCUGAUGCAGCGACGCCGCGUGAGUGAAGAAGUAUUUCGGUAUGUAAAGCUCUAUCAGCAGGGAAGAAAAUGACGGUACCUGAUUAAGAAGCCCCGGCUAACUACGUGCCAGCAGCCGCGGUAAUACGUAGGGGGCAAGCGUUAUCCGGAUUUACUGGGUGUAAAGGGAGCGUAGCCGGCCGCACAAGUCUGGAUUGAAAUGCCUGGGCUUAACCCCGGAACUGCUUUGGAAACUGUGCAGCUAGAGUGCAGGAGAGGUAAGUGGAAUUCCUAGUGUAGCGGUGAAAUGCGUAGAUAUUAGGAGGAACACCAGUGGCGAAGGCGGCUUACUGGACUGUAACUGACGUUGAGGCUCGAAAGCGUGGGGAGCAAACAGGAUUAGAUACCCCUGUAGUC
rnacentral:rRNA from 1 species